rnacentral:rRNA from 1 species
UUUGAUCCUGGCUCAGAGCGAACGCUAGCGGGGUGGCUUAACACAUGCAAGUCGAGCGGGCAGCUUCGGCUGUCAGCGGCGAACGGGUGAGUAACACGUAGGAUAUCUACCUCGAGGUGGGGACAACACGCCGAAAGGCGUGCUGAUACCGCAUAUGGCCUAAGGGUCAAAGCAGCAAUGUGCCUUGAGAUGAGCCUGCGGCCCAUUAUUUAAUUCUAGUUGGCGGGGUAAUGGCCCACCAAGGGUACGAUGGGUAGCUGGUCUGAGAGGACGAUCAGCCACACUGGGACUGAGACACGGCCCAGACUCCUACGGGAGGCAGCAGUGGGGAAUAUUGCGCAAUGGGCGAAAAGCCUGACGCAGCCAACCCGCGUGUGUGAUGAAGGCCUCGGUGUAAGUACACUGUCGUGAGGG